rnacentral:rRNA from 1 species
UACGAAGGGGGCUAGCGUUGCUCGGAAUCACUGGGCGUAAAGGGUGCGUAGGCGGGUCUUAAGUCGGGGGUGAAAUCCUGGAGCUCAACUCCAGAACUGCCUUUGAUACUGAAGAUCUUGAGUUCGGGAGAGGUGAGUGGAACUGCGAGUGUAGAGGUGAAAUUCGUAGAUAUUGGGAAGAACACCGAUGGCGAAGGCAGCCAUCUGGACCGACACUGACGCUGAGGCACGAAAGCUAGGGGAGCAAACAGG